CACGUAGGGGGCGAGCGUUGUCCGGAAUCAUUGGGCGUAAAGAGCUCGUAGGCGGCUCGGUAAGUCGGGUGUGAAACCCCCAGGCUCAACCUGGGGACGCCACCCGAUACUGCUGUGGCUAGAGUCCAGUAGGGGAGUGUGGAAUUCCCGGUGUAGCGGUGAAAUGCGCAGAUAUCGGGAGGAACACCAGCGGCGAAGGCGGCUCACUGGACCGGUAUUGACGCUGAGGUGCGAAAGCGUGGGGAGCGAACAGG
rnacentral:rRNA from 1 species